AAAAGAUUAAAAGGAGUCUUGAAGCCAGCUGCUAAUCUCAAGGGAUUCGCUGUGUCAGUGGAGAUGAGGUCUCCUACAGGAUGAAGCAAAACAAGAGCCCACACAUCCUCUCUUGAUUGCAAGGUGACACCAUCCAGAUUUCCAGGGUUGUUUUCAUUUCCUCCUGCCUUCCACUGGAAGACAUCAGACCUUCCCAAGAGAGGCCAGCUUCAGAGUCUGAAAGCCAAAUGACCUAGAACAGCUGCAGCACGACAUAAGGAAUGCCAGUAGUGAGUUAAAGAAGAUAUUUGUGUCAAAAAGCAGAAGAGAAAGAGCUAUGCAGUGCACAGCACAGAAAACAUCAGCCCUGAAGCUGUAAUAAGGGAAGAAUUGUGUGCAGCCACCACGACCAGGUUGUGUUAAUGGUAGUGUACAAUGUUAUCCUCUUCUGGACAGAGCACGUCCUAAUUACCAACACAAAGACCCUUCUUUG